rnacentral:rRNA from 1 species
GACGAACGCUGGCGGCGUGCUUAACACAUGCAAGUCGAACGGUGAAGCGCCUUCCUUUUUGGUGGGUGUGGAUGAGUGGCGAACGGGUGAGUAACACGUGAGUAACCUGCCCCCUUCUUCUGGAUAACCGCAUGAAAGUGUGGCUAAUACGGGAUAUUCUGGGUCUGUCGCAUGAUGGGUCUGGGAAAGAUAUUGUUUCGGUGGGGGAUGGGCUCGCGGCCUAUCAGCUUGUUGGUGGGGUGAUGGCCUACCAAGGCGGUGACGGGUAGCCGGCCUGAGGGGGGUGCACGGUCACACGGGGACGGGAAACCGGCCCGACUACCAAGGGAGGGCGCCGGUGGGAAUAGUUGAAAAUGGGGGGAAGGCCGGAGGCGGGGAGGCCGGGUAGGGAUGGAGGCCCUCCGGGUGGGAAACCUUUUUGCCAGUGAAGCAGGCCUGCCUCGUUUGUGGGUGGGUUGACGGUAGCUGGAUAAGAAGCGCCGGCUAACUACGUG